rnacentral:rRNA from 1 species
AGAGUGAACGCUGGCGGUAGGCCUAACACAUGCAAGUCGAACGGCAGCACAGUGGUAGCAAUACCAUGGGUGGCGAGUGGCGGACGGGUGAGGAAUACAUCGGAAUCUACCUUUUCGUGGGGGAUAACGUAGGGAAACUUACGCUAAUACCGCAUACGCCCGUUUGGGGGAAAGCCGGGGAUCGCAAGACCUGGCGCGGAUAGAUGAGCCGAUGUCGGAUUAGCUAGUU